rnacentral:rRNA from 1 species
CCUACGGGAGGCAGCAGUGGGGAAUAUUGCACAAUGGGGGAAACCCUGAUGCAGCGACGCCGCGUGAGGGAAGAAGGUUUUCGGUAUGUAAAGCUCUGUCUUCAGGGAAGAAAAGAGACGGUAGCCGACUAUGAAGCCACGGCUAACUACGUGCCAGCAGCCGCGGUAAUACGUAGGGGGCAAGCGUUGUCCGGAAUUACUGGGUGUAAAGGGAGCGUAGGCGGCUAAGCAAGUCUGAAGUGAAAGGUUAGGGCUCAACCCUGAGACUGCCUUGGAAACUGGGGUGCUGGAGUGGGUUAGAGGUAAGCGGAAUGCCUAGUGUAGCGGUGAAAUGCGUAGAUAUUAGGAGGAACACCAGUGGCGAAGGCGGCUUACUGGGCAGUAACUGACGCUGAGGCUCGAAAGCGUGGGGAGCAAACAGGAUUAGAUACCCCUGUAGUC